GUGCUGCCAUUUAAAGACAACUCCUUCUCCGGCUGGCAUUUAAAGACCCAACUCCUCCUCCUCUUUCUUCCACUCUAGUUUUAAAAGCUCAUACCUUCUCCUCCUCACCCCUCACCCCUCACCCCUCACCCUUCUCUCUCUAGUCUCUCUAAAUCUGCAGAGAAAAUGGGUGAUUUGAGGUCUAAGUUCUUGGGCGUUUACUCUGUUUUGAAAUCUGAGCUUCUCAAUGAUCCGGCCUUCGAAUUCACGGACGUUUCUCGUCAAUGGGUCGAACGGAUGCUGGACUACACUGUGCCAGGAGGAAAGUUGAAUCGAGGUUUAUCCGUUGUUGACAGCUUAAAAUUACUCAAGGAUGGAAAGGACCUAACGGAUGAUGAAUUUUUUCAUUCAUCCGCACUUGGAUGGUGUAUUGAAUGGCUUCAAGCAUAUUUUCUUGUUCUUGAUGAUAUCAUGGAUGGCUCUCAUACACGUAGGGGUCAGCAGUGCUGGUUCAGACUACCAAAGAUUGGCAUGAUUGCUGUGAAUGAUGGCAUACUACUUCGCAACCAUAUCCCACGAGUUCUCAAAAGCACUUUAGGGGAAAGCCCUACUAUGUGGAUCUGCUGGAUUUAUUUAAUGAGGUGGAGUUUCAAACAGCUCAUGGACAAUUGAUAGAUUUAAUUACCACUCAUGAAGGAGAGAAAGAUCUAUCAAAGUACUCAUUGUCGCUUCACCGCCGCAUUGUUCAGUACAAGACCGCUUAUUACUCUUUUUACCUUCCAGUAGCAUGCGCGUUGCUAAUGGCAGGCGAAGAUCUUGAACGCCAUGCUGAUGUGAAGACUAUUCUUAUUGAAAUGGGAACUUAUUUUCAAGUACAGGAUGAUUAUUUGGAUUGUUUUGGUGAGCCCGAAGUGAUAGGAAAGGUUGGGACUGAUAUUCAAGACUUCAAGUGCUCUUGGUUGGUUGUGAAAGCUUUAGAAAUUGCUAGUGAGGAACAAAAGAAACUAUUACACGAGAAUUAUGGGAAAGAUGACGAAACAUGUAUUGCAAAAGUAAAAGAACUAUACAAAGUCCUUGAUCUUGAGGGUGUGUUUCUGGAGUAUGAGAGCAGCAGUUACCAGAAACUUACAAAAUUGAUUGAAUCUCAUUCAAGUAAAGCAGUACAGGCAGUGCUGAAAUCAUUCUUGGCAAAGAUAUACAAGAGGCAGAAGUAAGCAAAGAAGGAAGCAGAUACCGAAUGCUUAGCAACGGCAAUGUUACUGCCUCAUUUUCUAAUAAUUGACUACGACAAGGGACAGUAGAAAAAGCAAAACACGUUUGUAUCCCUUCUCUUCUGGUUUUCCUGCUUCGGAUUUCCGGUGAAAAACUCCCCUGCUGAAUCUGUUAGGCCAAACUAUGUCAAUUUUGGUGACUUUCAUUAAUUGUAUUUUUAUGUUGUAAGAUUUCGGCUUUUUGGCCUUGGAGAAAUUAGACUCAUAAGUUGAUUUAUUUGCCGUUAUCGGAAAAAAAGGACUCAAAGAUGCUGUGUUGUAUUGUAUUCAGAGGUCAAUUUUGUUCCUUGUGACUC